CCUACGGGAGUCAGCAGUAGGGAAUCUUCCACAAUGGACGAAAGUCUGAUGGAGCAACGCCGCGUGAGUGAAGAAGGGUUUCGGCUCGUAAAGCUCUGUUGGCAGUGAAGAACGAUCGAGGUAGUAAUUGGCCUUUAUUUGACGGUAACUACUUAGAAAGCCACGGCUAACUACGUGCCAGCAGCCGCGGUAAUACGUAGGGUGCAAGCGUUAACCGGAUUUAUUGGGCGUAAAGCGGGUGCAGGCGGUUCAAUAAGUCUGGUGUGAAAGCCUCCGGCUCAACCGGGGAAUUGCAUCAGAAACUGUUGAACUGGAGUGCAGAAGAGGAGAGUGGAACUCCAUGUGUAGCAGUGGAAUGCGUAGAUAUAUGGAGGAACACCAGUGGCGAAGGCGGCUCUCUGGUCUGCAACUGACGCUGAGGCUCGAAAGCAUGGGUAGCGAACAGGAUUAGAUACCCGAGUAGUC
rnacentral:rRNA from 1 species